UACGGAGGGUGCAAGCGUUAUCCGGAUUCACUGGGUUUAAAGGGUGCGUAGGCGGACGGGUAAGUCCGUGGUGAAAUCCUGGAGCUUAACUCCAGAACUGCCGUGGAUACUAUUCGUCUUGAAUAUCGUGGAGGUUUGCGGAAUAUGUCAUGUAGCGGUGAAAUGCUUAGAUAUGACAUAGAACACCUAUUGCGAAGGCAGCAGGCUACACGAUUAUUGACGCUGAGGCACGAAAGCGUGGGGAUCAAACAGG
rnacentral:rRNA from 1 species